rnacentral:lncRNA from 1 species
AGUAGAGACAGGGUUUUACCAUGUUGCCCAGCCUGGCUCCCCUCACACCUGACCCAGCUCCCAUCAAGGUCACCACCUCAAGGUGGCCAAUUCCAGUGGACACAACGUCAUCUUUCCUGAUCUCUCAGAAACACUUUUCGUGUUGGCCACUCCUUCUUCUUUGAACUUCUGAGUCAGUAAUUUCCAACAUUCCUCUUAUUUCACUCACCAUUCUCUCACAUUCUCUUUCUCAGCAUCAUCAAUUCUGAUCUACGCCUUAAAAUUCAUCAUAGCUGGGCACAGUGGCUCAUGCCUAUAAUCCCAGCACUUUGGGAGGCCAAGGCAGGGGUAUUGCUUGAGCCCAGGAGUUUGAGAGCAGCCUGGGCAACAUGGUGAAACCCCAUCUCUACUAAAAAUAGGAAAAAUUGGCUGGGCGCGGUGGCUCACGCAGGUAAUCCCAGCACUUUAGGAGGCCAAGGUGGGCGGAUCCCCCGAGGUCAGGAGUUCAAGACCAGCCUGGCCAAUAUGGGGAAACCCUGUCUCUACUAAAAAUACAAAAAUUAGCCAGGCGUGGUGGUGGGCACCUGUGAUCCCAUCAACUCAGGAGGCUGAGGCAGAAGAAUCACUUGAACCCAGGAGGCAGAGGUUGCAGUGAGCCAAGAUCACACCACUGCACUCCAGCCUGGGCAACAAAAUGAGACUCCGUCUCAAAAAAGAAAAAUAGGAGGCAGGGCAUGGUGGCUCACGCCUGUAAUCCCCGCACUUUGGGAGGCCGAGGCGGGUGGAUCACCUAAGGUCAGGAGUUUGAGACCAGCCUGGCCAAUAGGUGAAGCCCUGUCUGUACUAAAAAUACAAAAAUUAGCCGGACAUGGUGGUGGACAACUGUAGUCCCAGCUACUCGGGAGACUGAGACAGGAGAAUUGCUUGAACCUGGGAGGUGGAGGUUGCAGUGAGCCGAGAUCAUGCCACUGCACUCCAGCCUGGGCGACAGAGCAAGACUGUC